AGGUUAUCCCACUUCUUUCCUGAGUAAUGGGGUGCAACUGAGCCCUUCUUCCCAGGGUGGCAUGUAGGUGCAGUCCCCCUCUUGUAGCCGGCCUGGAGAUACUUGGUAGCUCCUGUACCUCACCUGGGCGUGCAUGGGAGCUGUCCCCGCAUCUCCAGUGUGGGUCCUUCCCACCUGGAUCCAUACUUGGCUGGCUAAACCAUGGUGGUGGAGGCCUCAGUGGGCUGCUUCCAACGGGGUGAAGGCAGCCCCUUCCCAGUGUCGGCUGAGGAGCCUGCACAGCAAGGUGGAAGUUUUGGCAGGGACCCCUGAGAUCCCAGCUGGAAACAAAAGGGCUGUUGCUACAAGAUGGGUUGGUUCACCUGCUCGCACUGUUGUUCCAUUUUCUGAAGAACCUUCUUUCUCCCAGCAGGAUGAGGAAUGGCUUCGCGUGAGAUCUGCCAACGUGGUUGUGGAGGAUCAGGUGCAGAGUUUUGCCAGGGGCUGCUGCUAUUUUACAUGAGAGGUGCUGGUGAUUGAGGAAUUGCAGGGUAAAAUUAAGACCCCCUCGUUUUGUGAUGCCGUCUCCAGUGUUGCUGGGUACUGUUGGCAGCCCCUGGACAUGUGAUCCAGUUGACGUUGUUGGUUCACACACAACCUGCCUUGAAAGGGAUCAGAAUUCUUCAACUGAACUGCACCUGAAAAGAAUUAUUUUACGGUCCAGAAAAAAACAGGUAACCCCACAGAAACAAAUGACUGAAGUUUGGGUCUUAAUUGCUGUGUAAACUGAGUUUAUUAUACACACACGUGUCUAAGGAUCUUCUUCUGUUAAAGUCUAAUCUCUUGGUAAACUUACUCUCAAAUCAUUAACGCAUCUGGGCCGCUCAAGGACUCGUUUUGCUGACACAAACAAGUCAGUCAUUAUUAGCCCACAGUCCCCUUACUUCACAGGCUCUUCUACCCAGCUGCCAUGGAUGCGAGUGCCUGCAAGGUCUGAUGAGUACUUUCAAAAGAUAAGUCAAUGUUGAC